AUCGUAGACGAAAAGCAUUUUUUAAAAUUGCUAUUGCGCCGAGAUAAAAUUGACGAUUCUUCAACCCAAUGAUGAACAGCAAAAUGAUUUACGGAGAAAUUAAAGGAGAUUGCCGUGAAAAGCAAGUAUUACAGAUUUUUUGUGGAUUGUUGUCAUCGGGCUUGUAGCUUCAAUCAGAGUGACAUGAAAUCGUAUAAAUAGCAAAACAGAGGUGUCUGAAUACAGUCGAAUGAGUUCUUUCUGCGACACGGUAGAAAUGGCAUAUAGCAUUUGCCAUCAGCUGCAAUUUAAAUUGUCCAUCAGCUUACAAUUAUAGAUAACUACGCUACGAUUUCAAGCUUAUGCUGGUUGGUAGUUAUCUCUUUGAUGGUUGGAACGACCGUGAGUGUACCCAUGGACUCGUCUUUCUCCCAGCAAUAUACGACGUCUGCGCCCUCAAAACAUCACGACGUACUGCUCCCCUAUAUACUUCAACACCAAGGUGUCAUAGAACUGCGCAACGAAAAACACGAGCAUGACCAAAUCGCCGUAGUACUACACAAAUCACAUGUGUAUCUCGCAAACACUACACCAAGAAGCGCCUGAAUACUAAACCCCACGUAUAUCACUCCCAGCUACUAUGCUGAAGCUCCAAAAUAGUGAUUGCCUUCAAGUUACUAUACGGAAGUUUAGGUUUACCACAUUUCAAUGGAUCGCCUCACCAUUCUUCCAUUCCAUGUUGCGGGCACACAGGCCGCAACAAAAACAGAUUAAGAUCACGUGUCUAUUGUGAAAGAGAUCAUGUGUCUCAACGAAAAUGGCUCUCUCUGUUUGCGUCAUCAGACCUCCCCAGUGUGUCAUUCUGAUGCAGAGCUCUUGAAAUCAAGUUGAAUGUUUUGAAACAUCUCAGGCCAAAGCUGAAGUUCUAGAGGUAUUAGAAAAGUCGUCACUCAGUAAAGUAAUUGACCAAAUGCCGACUCGACGAUUUCCAUGCAAGAUGAAUGUUAUAAAUCCAAGGAGAUCUGGUGAGCAGGAUUCAACGGACUAUUUCAUGUCAAACCAUUAGCUGAAUACAAUGAAUACCAUCAGUUCCCCAGAACGAGAGGUUAAAAAUCAUACUGAAUCACAAGAGGCAUCAAGUUAAACGAGAUUUUAAAAUGAUAACAGUUGGAAACGCAUGUGGAAAUUUCGAUGAACGCUACCUAAACGUUACCUUUAGUCACUGAUUCAUCUCGAAGAUAAAAUAAGUUAUUUUUAUAAAUUGAAGUGCAUAUCUGGGCUCCCUUCUUUUCUGUGGCCCCGUUUCCCCUUGACUUAUGAUAAGCCCGUAGGGGGUCAUGCCCCUACUGUGAUCAGCAGCAAAGGUUGUGAGU